AUUGAACGCUGGCGUCAGGCCUAACACAUGCAAGUCGAACGAGUGGCGGACGGGUGAGUAAUGUCUGUGAAACUGCCUGAUGGAGGGGGAUAACUACUGGAAACGGUAGCUAAUACCGCAUACCAUUAGCUGUGCCCAGAGGGGAUUGGCUUGUUGGUGGGGUAACGGCUCACCAAGGCGACGAUCCCUAACUGGUCUGAGAGGAUGACCAUACACACUGGAACUGAGACACGGUCCAGACUCCUACGUGAGGCAGCAGUGGGGAAUAGUGCACAAUGGGCGCAAGCCUGAUGCAGCCAUGCCGCGUGUAUGAAGAAGGCCUUCGGGUUGUAAAGUACUUUCAGCGGGGAGGCGUUACCCGCAGAAGAAGCACCGGCUAACUCCGUGCCAGCAGCCGCGGUAAUUC
rnacentral:rRNA from 1 species